GGUCAGCAGACACAUUCCAGCCAAUCAGCAGCACCUCCCUCCCAGACCCUCCCACCUCCUGGACAGCAUCCAUUUUACAUUCAUUGUGAAGCUGCAUUCUUAGUGAGCGGUCCAGGAGGUGGGAGGGUCUGGGAGGGAGGGUCUGCUGCUGAUUGGCUGGAAUGUGUCUGCUG